rnacentral:rRNA from 1 species
CAGCAGCCGCGGGAAUACGUAGGGUGCAAGCGUUAUCCGGAAUUAUUGGGCGUAAAGAGCUCGUAGGCGGUUUGUCGCAUCUGCUGUGAAAACUGGAGGCUCAACCUCCAGCCUGCAGUGGGUACGGGCAGACUAGAGUGCGGUAGGGGAGAUUGGAAUUCCUGGUGUAGCGGUGGAAUGCGCAGAUAUCAGGAGGAACACCGAUGGCGAAGGCAGAUCUCUGGGCCGUAACUGGCGCUGAGGAGCAAAAGCGUGGGGAGCGAACAGGAUUAGAUACCCCAGUAGUCCCUGUCUCUUAUAC